rnacentral:lncRNA from 1 species
UUCAGAGGUCAUUCGUGCUCGCCAUACUAAUCUUGAGUAGAAUGGCUGAGUUCUAAAACUUAAUUGCCAGGACACUUGGGAUUGACCCAAUCAUGUUAAUCACUCUGGCUUUGCAAGAAAAUCAGUCUUGAACUUCUGUUUUAGUCAUAUGUAUGUAUGAAAUACAUUAGCAUUUUCUUUGUGGGAUUUCAUGUAUUGACUCCGAUGCAAUAAAAUACAAAAUGCUGAAUUUCCUAUUCCAAAGUACUCGUCCCAUAUAAAUUUCUCAUUCUUUUGAGUCCAAUAUAAACUCAAUUUAAACUCGAGUAUUGGUAGGAGUGGCAAUGGGGCAGGGGACACCUCCCCCAACCCCAGCCCCUGUUGCAUUUUAAUUUCUCCUGCCCCACGUCCUGUCCUGCCCCGCUUCCCUCGUGGGGUUAAAAAAAUUUAUUAUAUAAUUUUAUUAUAAUUAAAUUUGAGCAAAUAAUCAAGUACUAAAAAUCAACACAUCACCAAAUUAUUAUUCAUUGUAACUCAUAAAAAUAAUUAAACAAAGGUUAUUUGAAUACAAUUUAAUAUGAUAAAACAAAUAUAACUAAAAUAAUCAAAUUUUUACAUUUGAUACAAAUACAAUCACUAAAUUAUUAUUGUGUUUUUUUGCAGAAAAAAGUGUUAUUGUAUUAAGUGUAGUUAGGAAUUUAAUAUAAAUAUAUUAAUAAAUUUGGUAUAAAUAAUUAAUAAAAUUUAUUAAUAGACAUGUAUAAUUAGUAGUAUAAUUGAUAAUAUCAUUAUAUAUAUAAUUAUAUAUAUAUAUAUUUUUUCAAACGAGUGGCGGGGUGGGUCGGGGGAGUAUACCCCUGCCCCGUUUCUAAACAGGGCGAAAAAAUUUCCUCCCACCCCCGCCCCAAUGACCCACCCGCGCGCGGACACCUGCCCCGUUGCCAUCCUUAGGUAUUGGAUUUGAAUCGGACAAGUUCAAACUUAUGUCAUGUAUUUUUUACAUUCAUAAAAUCUAGUCUUACAUAUAAAAAGAGGGAGUUGAGCUUAGGAAUGGUGUUAGGAGACCUUGAGUGGGUGGACAAUUUUGUGAAUUCAAUUUUAUAUGAUAUUGGUCAAGAUUAGUUUCAACUCUAAUCAUGUGAGACCAUGUGCCAAUCGCUUUUUCCCUGUUUGGUUUGCUAAUAAAUUAGUUAGUUUGGGUGGUAAUUGCUGUUGAAAUAUGAGAUGCCAUUUUAAUUAUUUUUGGUGAUUAGGUUCAAUACCUUGAUUGUUUAAUUGUUUAGCUUUGGAAUCACGUUGGUUUUCCAAGUUAUUAUUCAAAUAGUGAUACUUUUUCCAAUAGGUCUCGACCAAUGAUUCAACUGAAAGAAUGCACUUCAUGAAUGCAGUUUUAACAAACAGUGCAUUCACUAAGUAUGAUUUUCAGUCUUUAAAAGUAUAUAUUAACACGCUCACUAUUCGAUGACUCUUUGAAAAAAAAUCCAUGUAUGAGUCUUGUGCAUGCAAGUUAAAUUCUUUCAUAAAAUUUGGAAUCAUCUUUUGUGAAAUACAACAAAGGUAUGUUUGUUCUUCGUGCCUAUUAGUUUUCAAAACUUCCAGCUAACUUUUAAAUGCGGUUAUCUUAGUUAUUGCUUUACAAAUUUCACUAAUUUUUUAAGGCUCACACUUGGAUAAAUCCAGUUUUAAUACAUCUAAUAGCCCAAAUUGUAUGAUACAAUCUGGACCAUUGAAUGUUUGAAAUCGAGUCUACCCAAGUUUUGACCAUUUGUUAUUACUCUCUUCCAUAUUUUAUAUUGAUAAAUUUUUUCUAUAGCUUUCAUCUGAGCAACAUCAAGCAUCGCGUGAUGCCCCAAAAAAAUAGUUUGGAUAAGAGUUUAUUUGGAUGAUUUAUUUGAGAUAAUUACUGUAUCAUUUUUUGUGAUGUGAUGUAUGUAAGAUAAAAAAGUAACUGAAAGAUACAAACCCAGUGUUGCCAACAGACAUGAAAUGGAAAUGGGGCAUCAAAGGCCCAUUAAAGAGCAAGUUCCCUGUUAGCAGCUGCAGUUGCUUUAUCUAAGCCUGAGAGUAAUUUUGGACCAGUAAAAACGCUACAUUUGCUCGCCGAGUCCGUUUGCCCAAGUGUUGGGCAACAGGCCCAACCUUGGCUCAUUCAUGCGCAUGAGCCUCAGGUCAAGAUCGGGCCACCCGUCAUGUUGUAAAGACUACAGUAUGUUUUUUAUUAUAGUGUUUUUAAUGAAUGUAUAAAAUUAAAAAGAAACAUGUUCAUGUAGUUAUUUUGAACAAAGUUUAGUGCAUUAGCAUAAAAUCUUAGCUAACAAAUGCAUAAUUAUUUUAACAAAAAUUAUUAAGUUUAAAUGUAGAGAAAUGUUUAGCAUAUAAGUUAUUCUUUUCAGUAUUAUUAAAUCCACUGCACAAUAUUUCGACCAAAAGCUUGUAUAGCCCAAAACUCAGUAAUAUUUUAAUUGGGCACAAAGUUUAAAGCCCAUUCUCAAUCCAAUCCUAAAACAUGUGAAACUCGGCCCUAUUUGGUGGUCAUGGGUAGGCAACAAUUCCAAUUUUGAUUCCAAAUAUUUUGCCAAUUUGGUUUUCGACCAAGUAGACAAUUGAGAAAUUCAGAGAAUCCUAGCAAAAUAAGUCAUCUGCAAGUCAUGAACAAAAAUUUUAAACAUAAAAAUACCAUACACUUGGAAAGAAACUACAACCUAAGUUGCUUUCUCUCUAUCUCACCUUCUCUUUCAUAAAUUCCUCAACACUUUAUACACAAAGCCUCCAAAGUAAAAAUCAUAUUGAGAAAUUCUAGAAGCAUUUGUAAGUUUUUAAAGGUGUCCUCUAGCAAUAUGUCACGAGACGAUCAACUACUCCUAGAAAAUGGUCCCAAUUCUGAUUUAAGGGGAAAAAAUACAACUGAUAAAUUUGGUCAGUUGCUAGCUAGGGUAAGAAUGAUAUGGCUGUUAGAAUAUACCAAAAGAGCCAAGAUUGUCUAGAAAGGUUACUUUUACGUGACUCUAACUAUCAGCAACUAUCUUGUCAAAUUUUUUCUUUAAGUUUAUACUAUAAACUCUAAGGCUCAAAUUUGUUCUCCUUUAACUGGGGGCCACUUUAGUCCAGUACACUCUAGGGGACUAAGCCAAUAUCUAUCUCAUUCAAAAUUUAAGCAUAUAUGUAGUAUUACUUCUUUCUCAGUUACACAUGUAUCAUUAGAUUUUGGUGGUUUAUUCCUUUACAAGCUAAUUAGGGAAGGGUUCUUGAAGUUCUCUUCACUGUUAGGUUCAGAAUUUGAAUCACAGACCUGACAGUUGGGAUUGAAAAGAGUGUGGAGAGGGAUGAGAGGUAAAAAAUAAUAUUAAUAACAAUAAUAAAUUAAAAAAAGGGUUUUUAAUGGGCACCCGUUAACACAUCUAAAAUUCAUCUAAUCUAUUAUAUAUAUAUAUAUAUACAUAUACUAUAAUUAUUAUCCUCCCUUAUAUUUAUAUAAUUUUUCUAUUUAAUCUUAGCUACCCUCCCAUGUAUUUAUUUACUUUUCGUAAUUAAUCUUACAUUUUUUAAAAAUAUGACAUUUGAAAUAUAUUUUACUGAGUGUCCAAUGGUCACCCGUUAAACAAACAUUUAAAAAAAAAGGCUAACCAAAAUGUGACAUUAUGUUGAUGUAUAAAUGACAAUAAAAACUAAAAUGUAACAUAUUGAUGGUGGUAUAUAUACUGCCGCAAAUCCAGUGUGAAUACUUUUUAUGGCGGUAUAUAUCUUGGCAUUUUGCGCCAUAAUUUGCGUGCCUCGUAAAGCCAAAAUUCUUGUAGUAACUAAAUCAAUAACUAUACAUUGGACAAUGAAGUGUUAAGAUCCACGAAGAAUGGGGCUAAAAUGGGAGGUUAUAGGUGAAUUAAACAAAUUACACUGGUUAAAAUAAUUAUAUGCAAAAAUGAUUUUGCAAAGGUGAGAAUAUGCCUAAAAGUACAAGAGAUUGAACUUGUAACGUUUUACUACUAACUGAAAAUUCAGAAGUUGAGGUGUUCAAAUUCGUGUGGAUUAAUCCAUGAGCACUGUCGCAGAAUUCUUGUCAAGUGUAAGCGACUAUACCUAAAACGUUGAAAAAAUAAAACUAAACCAUAUUUUAAAUGCACUUUACAGCUGCAGCAUACAAUAAUUUAAGUGCAGUUAAUGUUGUUAACUUGAAGUAUCUGUAUAGGUGCAUACCUCGGGUAAACAAUAGAAUAAUUAGACUAGUUGUUUCAUGCAUGGUAGAGCGAGACUAACCAGAAUUGAUAUUUUCAUGUUGCCAUGGGUGAGAAUGGGAUCUAUUGGACAUGCUUUUUUAACUUUAUCUUUUAGCUCUUUGAGGUAGUUGCGACAAGAUUAUUACUGGAAAAAUUUCACAAACCAUUCUUGAGGUUUAUGAAAAAUUCAAUAAUUCUCCUCAAGUUUUUGAAAUGGAUUUAUCUAACGAGUGUCCUAUAUGUUCGGGUAUUAAUUUUUUGAUAAGAGUGAAACUAAUUUAGAAAAGUAUCUAAGGGUGCGAUUAAUAAAACUGAAGUUUGAAAACUGAAAUUUGAAUCCAUUAAGUUAUUGAAUUAUUAAGUAUUAAAUCAAAUACAUUUGAGUGUAUAUCAUAUUCAAUAAUAAGUGAAUCGUUUAUCACUUAUUUUUGGAAGCAAGUUUUAUCUAGAAAAUUCAGUGCCACUUAGUUAAUUCAGAUAUUCAAUUUUUGAUUAUCAAAUGCAUCUAAACAUAUUAAGAUCUGAAUUCAUAUUUAAGUGCUGAAUUGGGUUAUCAAACAUGGCCUAAAUGCAGGAGAGACAAAUAAUACAAGCAUGUGUAUUCAUAAGGUAAGUUAGGUGUAAUUUAAGCGUCUUAACAAGUGCUUUUACUUACCCAAAAUAACAAUUAAGUUGAAGUAGGUUCCCCUGGGGCACUUUUUAGAAAAAUCCUUUCAAAAAUUAGACUUUUUAACAAGUGCUUUGAGCAAAAAAAUAAUAAUUAUAUAGCUAAAAAAGGCAUGAAAAAGACAUAAAAUGAAGUUACAAAUUUUUUGUAGCAUGGCGAGAGUAAGUUUUCAAACAAAAUUCAGCAUGUGCCUAUUGAAAUCUAAUAUUUAAUUGACACGAACCAUAUAUGGCAAGGAAAUCUGAACAUAAGGGAUGUAAUUGUAAGUUUAAAAACUUGAACGGACCUAUGUGAAAUUGUCAUAAACCUAAAGGGAUAUCUGUGAAACUAUGUCUUGAAUAAUUUAUGUACACGAUAUUAACGGACAACAUAUUUUUAAAAUUCUUAUUUUUUUUGGCAAUAAUUAUCAAAAUACAGGAAGUUAAACUUAACCAAACGUUAAAGAUAAGAAACUCUCUAUGAUUCCAUUGGAUUGUGACAUUCCUUCAUGAUUCAUACAGUUCGUUCAAGAAUUUUUUUUUUAAUGAAUGUCUAUUGAGCACUUGUUAAAAUAUCAAAAUCACACCUAAAUUACCAUGUAACUACACACACUCACAUUUAUUGAACCCUGAAUUGUGAUAAUUUUUCCAAUUAACUAUACUUUUCCUAGCCACGAACCCGAGAAUCCUCUUGUAUAAGCAUCUUAUAUGUUGUAUAUCAUUACAUCAAAUGAAUGCGUAAGUUAGCAAACGUGCAUUCAUACAGUAGUUAAAAAAGUUGAACUUCUGAUUUUUGUGUCUUAAAACCUUUUAAGAAGCUAGCAGCCCCAUGCAUAGGAAGUCGGGAGCUACAGAAAAGAUUGUGAUUGAUUAGGUACCCAAUCUCUCCAUUUGGUACAUGGAUUCCAAAUCCAAAUGUAAAGAAAGGAGAAAUCAAUCAAUGUAAAACUGUAGUUUACGUAGAAUUCAGUAAGGGUGCGUUUGGUUCUGCAGAAUUGGAAUUGAAUUAGAAUUGAAAUUCUAUAGAAUUGGAAUUCUAUGAAUUAUAAUUCCAAAUCAUUGCAAUUCUUUCGUUUGGAAAAUGCAUAGAAUUGACAUGGAAUUUAUUUGGAAUUCCAAAUUCUUUAUUUGCAUGAGAGAAUAAUUCAUUAGGAAUUAGAAUUGUUUUCAUGAAACAUACCCUAAAUGUAAAUGCACCAUGUAAUUCAGCAAUUAGACAAAAGACUACCCUCUUAUGUUUUGGAUAAAAUUGCAAAAUAGAUGGAAAACUCUUUAAUAGACAACCCUAGCCAAAACGAUUUUUCUGCCUUGUAGUAAGACAUUAAAUUUCACCUACACUUUCCAGCUUUCUUAAUCAAUUCCACCAAUUAUGCAAUUAUAUGUGGAGUUGAUAGAUAUUUUUUCUUAUCGAUAAAAAGAAAAGAAAAUUGUAUAAAUUUCAGUUUGACCUCUAAACUUUUCUUCGUUUUUUGCUUAACCCACUAGAGGGUAUUUUGGGUCAAAAAAAGUGACAAAUUGUAAGACAAUUGAACUGACAAAUUUCUCCAGCUUACAACCCACGCCAUAGCUGCUUGAUCCUCAAAAAACAUUUGAACUGACAAAUUUCAUCCAUCUUGCACUUUUACCCCAAAGCGCAGGGGUAUUACGUAGAAUUCAAAAAAAAAAAGGGGUUAUGUGUCUAAACCACAGGGGUGUAUAGUAAGAUUUUAAAAUCAAGAUCCUACCAUGGGUUGUUUUGGAAGUCAUAAGAUCAAAUCAUAGGUAGGAUUGUGGAAUCGUACGAUUCUACCUAAAAAAAAAAGUAAAAAAUUAAUAUUUUAUUUAUUUAUAAGUUUAUUGUUCAUAAAAACAUGUAUAAAUAUAUGUUGAGAAUGCAAUGCCAGCUGAAAAUGUAAAUUUAUUUGACUAAAAUGUAUAAUUUCUAGCAUUACGUACUAACAGAUAAAGGUUUAAAUUACUUCUGAAUUUAUUUUAUUUUUUGGCUAAAAAUUUGAAAAUAAAUAUCAUUGAUCUAAAUUCGUGAAAUUUAAGAUUUUGUAUCUAAAUUAUUAAGGCAUCUCUUACUUUAUAUAAUAUGUACUUAAAUCCACGAAAUUCUAGUGAUCCAACAAUAAUGUUACAAACUAUAAGAUCUUAAUAGGAUUCAGAUUGAAUUCACAAACUUGAAUUGUAUAAUUGUAUAAUCCUCAGAUCAUAAAGUCUGGAUUUAGAGUUUAAUAACUAUUGCGUAUGGUACAUGCUAUCGUUUUCUUUUACAAUUUUUGAACCAUAACUCGAGGAUUUUGCGUUGGAAGUAUUUCAACAGCCAUAAGUACAGUUGGAAAAAUGGCAGGGUAUAGGUAGGACUGCGUAGGUGCAAUUUUAUACGAUUUUUGUAAUUAUUAUAUUUUAUUGGUGUACACUUUUGUUAUGGUAUUGUACGUGUAAUUUUAUUGUAUAUUAGUUAAAAGUAUAAAUUAUGUUUCUGUAUCCCAAAUAUAACAAACUACAUAAGUAUACGUCAAAACUUGUAAAAAGUACGACAAUUAAACACAAUCCUGCCAAAACCCAAAAGUAUAACUGCACCUGUCCUGUGUCCUUCAGGUGCCGUCAGCCCACAAUAUAGGUGUUGGCUCUUUCCAAAGCCACCGCAGCCUUUAUUUAGAUUAGGGAUCUACGCGAGUCGAGCUACUCGCGAGUAGCUCACGAGUAGUUCGAUCAACGGCUUGGCUCGAAUUCGAUCAAACCGAGUUCGAGCCGAGUUUCGAGUAGCUCGAUUGGCGUUCGAGUCGAGUUUCGAGUCUCAAGUUUUUGGCUCGCGGCUUGUCGAGUAGCUCGUUGAGUCGGACUAUUUAAAUAAUAUAUAUGUAUUAUAAUUAUAAAAUGACUAUUAUGGGUAUAGAUUAUACGGAAUUUACAAUAUAUUCUUCUUUAUAAUAAAUUUUUAUAAGGGCAAAAAAGUAAUAACAUAAUUAUAAAAAAUACCUAAAAAGAAAAAAUGUCUAAAAAAUGCCUCAUUUUUUUUUGGUCGAGUCGAGUCAAAAACUUGAUUAGACUCGGCUUGAUAAGGCUUGACUAAGGGUCGAGCCUUAUCGAGUCGAGUUUCGAGCUUAGAGCGAGUACAUCGAGUCAAGUUUCGAGUAUCAAUUUUUUUGACUCGAUCGAGCUCAAGCCGAGCUCGAGCCUAGGGAUAUAUGAGUCGAGUCGAGUCGAGCUCGAGUAUAGCACUACUCGAGCUUGACUCGGCUCGAUUACAUCCCUAAUUUAGAUGUAAUUAAUAGAGAUGUUAACGCAUCCUCUUUCUUUACUCUCAUUAAUAACGUUUCAUUUUUUCCUCAUUAAUACUGCCUUCAUUUUCUUACUUUGUUUUGAUAAUUAAACAUUUGAGUGUAUUCGGUUCUGAUCAUCAUCACGGGCAGGGUAUCUUCUUAGAAUUAUAGAUCACUUACAGAGAUUAUUACAAAUUUCCUUCCAACAUAAUUCUCACGUUCACAGCAAAAUUUGAAUGUACAACUUUUUAUAAAAAAGCUGUGCGCUCUUAUUGAUUGAACCAAUUUGUACUGGUCCAUUUAUCAUGCGAAUGUGGUCUCCGCUAGUAUUUGGCCUCUUUGGGAGGGGCCAAGCUAGUUCCCCGAAGAUAUGGUAAGUAGUAAUGCUACUUAUAAAUGGAGGGCGGCGGUGUUCAUUUGCGCCGCCAACUUUAUGGAGCUCUAGUGUAAGCCCAAUAGAUUUUGAGAGCUAUGGUUGAAAAGUAGUAAGCCUCUCUGCUUUUGGAUUACGGAAAAUUUCAAACCUUUUUGCUUGCUCAAACAAAUUUUGAACUUGAAAAUUCUUUAAGCCAAUAUACAUGGCCGAACUUCUUGCUUUGCAUAAUUUUACUGCUUUGAAACGUUGUGUAGCGAUAAAUAUGUAAUCAACUACUACAUAUCUUUUUGCAAGCAACUACCGUCUAAGUGAAAUUCAAGAUGAUGUAAUUGGCAAUGAUUCAUGUUUACAUAUUGUCUACACUUUAGACUAAAAAUGUAAUGAGAUUAUUUGUUUUGUACCAUCUAUUACGCGACAUUAGCAAUUUCAUUUUUGAUAAUCGAACCCUUCUUGACUUUUUAAGCAUCUAAAAUGACAAAGAUACAUUUAUCUAAUAUCAUUUGAAUUACAACAUAACAAAAAGGAAGUAGUUGUAAUUUCAAUGAGAGAUAGUAAUAUUUUUGUCCUUUCAUAUAUUAAAAAUUUUAAAAAGAAAAAGAGUGUCGUCUACAAAUAUGGAAGUGCCGAUAUCAAUUCCCCUUUUUCUUUCUUAUCUCAAUACUUGCUAUGAUAUAUAAAUGACGUAGUGAAGCAAACAAUUCAGAAAACUCAGAUGCCCAAAAUGACUGACAUCCAAUGCUACUCCAUGUUCUUUAUCAUCUCCUUCGUCUCAACACUCGUAAUUCGAUCCUUUUCAAAGAAAACCAAUCGCACUCAUUUCCACCUCCCGCCUGGCCCGCGCCCGCUGCCCAUCAUCGGUCACCUCCAACUCAUAACUUUUCCUUUGGACCAGUUUUACCAGAAGCUAUCAACCAAAUAUGGCCCCAUUAUUUACCUGCAAUUUGGUGCUUCAAAGCAGAUUAUCAUAUCAUCUGCUUCUUUGGCAACAGAAAUCUUCAAAACCCAAGAUCUUGCAUUCGCUUCUCGGCCGCCUUUUGCUGUUGAAGAUAGGUUAACUUUUAUUGCCUCUAGUUUUCUCUAUUCUGAGUAUGGAGAAUACUGGAAGUUCAUGAAGAAGCUUUGCAUGACUAAGUUGCUUAGUCCCCAAGCAUUAGAGGCCUCAAGUGGGGUUCGCAGACAAGGAUUACGCAGUUUCUUGCAAAAGAUUGUGGAGAGUGCAUCUCUUCUAAAGCCCGUCGACGUUGGACUUGAGCUCUUAAAGCUAACAAAUAACAUAAUCUGUACGAUGGCAAUGAACACUAAUUGUUCGAGUAACGAUGAUGAAGCUGAAAAGUGUAGAAAAUUAGUGCAGGAGACGUUUGAACAAGCUCUCAAGUUGACUAUUGGAGAUGUUUUGGGGCCAUUCAAAUGGUUAGGCUUCUGGAUUUAUGGGAAGCAGGCCGUGAAUCUGGAAAGAAGGUUUGAUGGCAUGGUAGAGAAUAUAUUGAAGCAGCAUGAAGAAAAAAGGGAAGAAAACAGCAAAACUAGCCAAUAUAAAGAUCUGAUAGAUGUUCUUUUGGAGAUGCAUUAUGAUAACCAAGCUGAGUUUAAACUGACUAGAACUCAAAUGAAGUCUUUCCUCCUGGUAUGUGAUUUUAAGUACUUGCUUUUCUUUCUUUUUUCUGUUUUGCUUUCAGAUAUCCAGAUCUUCAGCAAUUUUGUUAUUUAUUAUUUUUUUUGUUAUUUACUAUUGUUAUUUGUAUCUAGAAUAUGAUUUGCAAGUCGACCAAGUCAUAGAUAGUUAAUUCUUAAACUAACCUAAAAGGUUUCUCUGAAUGACAACGAAAAAAUAUGAGGAAGAAAAUAAGGAAAAAGAAAAAAAAAGAUAAAGCACAAAUGUAUACAUAUAUACAUACUGUUAGUCUAGGAAUCUAUUUCUGAUAUUUAUUUCUCAAAAUGAGAUUAGAAUUUCUUUAUAUCAUUUGGUAGUUUGUGUUCGCAGCAAAAAAUUAGAAAAAAUGAUUGAGAAGAAGACCAAAUAUGGAACUUCCUCUUAUUCUUUUGAUGCAAUUAUUAUAUCUUAAUUUGGAUUGUGUUCUUCGUCAAUUAGGACAUAUUUGUGGCAGGCACUGAUACUUCUGCGAAUACUAUGCAAUGGACUUUAGCUGAGCUCAUAAACCAUCCUAAAGUUUUCAAGAAAGUUAGAGAAGAGAUAGAUUCACUUGUUGGCAACUCAAGACUUGUUGAGGAAUCAGACAUCUCAAGUCUACCCUAUCUCCAAGCUGUAAUGAAGGAAAUACUCCGAUUACAUCCUCUGGGUUCUCUCAUACCAAGAAAAUGCCGCGAACAUUGCAAGCUGGAUGGCUUUGAUAUACCUAAGAACACAACCGUACUGAUCAAUACAUAUGCAGCCAUGAGGGACCCUAACCUUUGGGAUGAUCCUAACGAAUUUAAGCCCGAAAGAUUCUUGAUUUCCAAGGAUACAGAGAAAACCUUAGCUCGGCAAGACCAAAUGGAAGGACAAGUGCUGGAUCUCUUAACUUUUGGAGGUGGGAGGAGAAGGUGUCCAGGAAUGAUGCUGGCUUUCCACACAAUGAGCCCUACAGUUGCUGCCAUGGUUCAGUGCUUCGACUGGACGCCGAUUGAAAAGGGAAGGGAAGUUGAUGUAGUGAAUAUGGAAGUCAGAAAAGGGUUAAAUCACGUUAUGGAACAAUCGCUUGUAUGCACUCCUCGAGUUCGUCUCAAUCCACUUGACUGCAUAGCUUGAUCUUGGAAAAAUAAUGCGUUACCAAAACUUGGUGCAGGAUUACACUUUUGUUGGAUAGUUGCGUUUUGCCAACAAAAAUUUACAAGAAGUUUAGCACAAUGAUAUGUGUGAGCAGCAUAUUUACUUUUAUGAAAAUAAUAAAUGACUGAAUUAUAAUUUUGUUUAUAAAAGAAAAUGUUGUCUUGGUCUAAUUAAAUUGGGAUAUUAUCGGUCAUCGUUUAAUUUUCACAUAUUUGGUCCCUCGAAGUAUAGAUGUUUCCACUUUGUCUUCCAUAUAGCUUUUGACAUUAAUGCAAUUUGUUUGGUAAUAUGAUUUUUGGAGUUAUAUAAAAUGUGAGAAAGCUAAAUUAAAAGUUGACAAGUAUCCAAAAAUGUAGAAACCGCCUAAAUUUUUAUUUUUUUUUGAAAAAAAGAACUUGAUAGACAAGAGAUGCUAAAAGCAAGGCAUGAUUAGGGACUAAAUUAAAACUUGCAUCAAACUGAAGGAGAUAAAACAACGAUUUUCGCUCAUUUUAAUUAUUUUAUCAGGAUAAUUUUCAUUUGAUAACUUAUAUGGUUUAAAAAGAAAAUAAACUUUGUAAAUGUAUAAUCAGAAAAUUCAAAAAUGUAAUUCUCUUAAUCCUAUUGUACUGGCUAAGCAAUUUCCUUAUUAUGUUUCAAUAAUAUGUAGCCCAUUAUCAAUUUUUACUAGAAUACGCAACUAGUGAAAUCUGCAAAUAGACUGUUUAUUGAUGCUAAAGUUCCAAAUAGAAUUAAUUCUAAUUUUUACCAAAAGUACAACUCUUGAAAAAAUAAUUACAUACGACGAAUCCUUAAAAAACCCAAUCCUGACUUAUUAUUAGGCCUAAACAAAACUUUAUAUGCUUUAGAACUUCUACCUGCUGAGAGAUAUCAACUGUUCUUCACUUAAAUCUUAUCUGAUUCUCAUAAGUAAUUGAGCAUCAAAUACUGAAAGUCAAACGCCAAUUGUGCAACUGAGAAUUAGAAACUGGGCUUUGACCCACCACUCUUGUUCUUCAUAUCUCAGGGCCCAUUACACAGUGUUGGGUCUUUCUUCAUAUUCCCCUUCUUGGUGGUCAUUGCAGUGGUGGGCGUGAUGCCCAUUACCCAGCAACCGAAACUCUAAAUGUAUUUUGGCCCAACUAACUGGGAGAAUGGAGUAUAGGGGCUAUACAAAAACUUUUUCAUAAUAUUAUUUUUUUGAAUAAAUUUUAUGUACACUGUCACCGUUAAAUUCAUGAAAUGUGUGUAAAAAUUGAAUUUUAAAUUCAAAAUUUGUAUAGUUGUUAUUCAUUCAACGUUGAUAGUGUAUAUACACUGUUAGUGUAGGAAAGAUUAAUCCUAUUUUUUUUGGUACAUAAUAACUAAUAAUUAUAAUAUUAUUCUUUACUACUAUUACGUUUUUUACACAUUUUUUCGUAAUACUAUGUUUUACUAAUGUUAUUGAUCAAAUCUCAUGUGUACAGCCUAAUUUUCCGCCGAAUAAUUGUUGCAAAACAUUUUUUGUUGGUUCUCUAAAUUUCUACUUUUCAAGUAAUCUCUUUGCCAAAUUUGACUUGUGAAAGGACUAAUCUAAUAAAAAAAAAAUAACGUUAGGAAGUAAAUUACAGAAAUAUUUUUAUUUGGAGACGGGGGGGGAGGGGUGGGAUUAUUACGUUUGACCCUAUGAAAUUUUCAGAUUGUCAACCUGUGGAGAAGGUUUUGGUACCAUUCAUCUCGUUUAUGCUCAUGAAGACCAAAGCCAACAAUGAGUUAGAAUGCAGGUGCAAUUUCAUUCCGCUCUACAUUUUGUUAGUCCAUUUGUGCUGAACAAUUUCUAACAAUUCGAUUAAUGGAAUUUUUGUUUUGACUAUCAAAAAUGUAAAUCGCGAUGUCCUCAAAUUGGAAUGACAAUAAACUCAAUUCAGUUCAUUCACGAGGAAGCAUAAGAAUCCGAGGAACCGCAAAGAAAAAUACGGAAUAGAGUGAAGAAGGGGAGGAGGACUUUGGAUAAAAGUAAAUUGGGAAUGCUCUCGAAUCACGAGGUACUUUUCUCGAUUAAGAAUCCUAUAACUAACUUGAUCAUAAAUCUUUAAACUUCUGAAAAUAAUUUAACAAAUAAUUAAGCAAUUAUCUAACAACCGCAAGUUGCAAAUAAUUAAGCAAUUACCUAAUUUUGUGGCUUUAGUCUUGUUUCCUAAAAAAUUACAUCAUCUGGCACUAAACUUUUUCAAAAGAACUCUGAAAAAGUGUGUCAUUGAUCACUAAACAUUUCCAAAUUCUCACUUCGCCCCACUUUACUAUUUUUCAUUACAAAAUGACAAAUAUGCCCACACAAAAUAUAUUGUGCAGCUCAGGUGCGAUGUGAUUUCAUUUCAGCAAAAUAGCCAAUUUCGCCUCUAAACAUUUUUAUUGGUGCUGAUUUAGUCCUUAACUUUUAUUUUUGGCUAAUUUGAUACUUGAAUUUAUUUUACAGUUCCAAUUAAGGACGUCCGCGAUGGCAACACUACUUAAAAUCGAUUCGACUCUUAAUUGACUAACUAAAUAGGGAUAUUAUGUGAACGUCACUCAUUGGAUUGUAAUAAAACACGUAAAUCGUAUAAAAGAUCAUCUGAUAAAACUUUUAAAUCAUCUAAACCAUUAUCAGAUAAAACUUUUUAAAGUUUAAUCUUGUAGUUUUUUUUAUACAAUUUACUUAAUUUAUUAAAGUCUCAUGAGUGACGUUCCCAAAAUACCCUAUUUAAUUGGUUAAUUAGGAGUUAGAUCAGUUUUAGGUGGUGACGCUGUCAUGAAAGUCUUUAAUAGGAACCGUAAAAUAAGUUCACACAUUAAAUUGACUGGGAAUAAAAGUUAAGAACUAAAUUAGUACUAGUAAAAUAGUCUAGGAACAAAAUUGGUGAUUUUCCGUUUCAUUGCUUUCAACGGAUUCGACGGAAUUGUGCAAUUGAUCAUGUUUAGGAGCUUAGUAUAGGCCAAUUGGCAUUAAAAUAUUAUAGUGGACUAAAUAAUUUUAGCAAAGUUUAGUGGCUUGUGGCACUUUUAACAUUCUUUUUUCCUUUUUCUUUUUAUUAAAGAAGGCUAUUUUGUAGUGAUGCAAGGAUUAACAUUUUACAAAGGUAAAUAAUGUUAGAACUCCGAGAAAAGUUUGAGAAACUCCAUCUUCCCUUUUAAUCCACAAGAAAUGAUGGAGUGCUUGAGGUAUUUUUAGGAAAGCAAGUAUCAUUUGCCUUUAUAAAUAAAUCAAAAUGUCAACACACAAGAUGGAACGAAACAGAAGCGAUGAAUUCGGAUCCUCUACCAUAUUUUAGUGUUACGCCACGUAUUAACAUAACACUCUUCCUUCAUGAUUUAUUAGCAUAACAUGCUUCCUCCAUGAUUUACAACUAUAGUAGAAUAUUAAAUUAGGGGACAUGUUUUAACCUAAUGGAUAGUAUAAUAGAAAGUAUAAGACCAAAAUAUAAAAAAUAAUAUAAUACCAUAAGGAACUUAAAAAAGGGAUAAUUUCAAAAGCUUCUCUUGAGGUUUCUAAUAAUUUCACUGGCCUCUCAUGAAAUUUACAAAAUUACACUAACCUUCCCUAAGGUUAAGGUUUUGGUAACAAAAUCAAUCCAAAUAAAAAAAUAGUAUCAUCAAAAUGUACUCUAAAGGAGAGAGAUGAAACUUUUAUUUCAUAAAUACUUCUUAUACAUGUGUACAAGUUCUAUUAGUAAAAGAAUGAAAACAACUAAAAGUUGGAAAAAAUUAACACACAUUCUACUAUUCAACAAGUUCACAUUCGACACAUUAGACAACACAAAUAAACAAUAAAACUAUACAAAUGAUCACAAGAUUCAAUGAAAUAGAUUACCUAUCUCUCUUAACAUGAAGUUUGCUAUAACUUUUGUGAUUUUGAGUAGAAAAUAUUUCUAAAUUUGCCUUUUUCCUCCCUAUUUUUUCCUUCACUUCCACGAAAUUUACUUUGCAACUAUCAUGUCUUUAAGAAUUUCAAAGAAAAUUUCCUCAUAACAGCCUUCUUUUUCUCUUUCUUUGCCCCUGUGUCUUUUCCCCUUCUACCAGAGCCCUUCUUCUCAUAUUGUACAACUGAUUUCUAAUUAUUGUCAAGUUCUAUCAAUCACAAAAUGGCUCCAUUUGGUAUAUCAAUUAGCAUCAUUUUGUAAUAGUAAGUUACUGUUCAUCAUUAACGAAAUUUCCAACAGUUAUUUUCAUUAAUUAGUUACUAUCAAUUAAUUAAUGCCCUAAUUGCUCAAUCGUCAGAUAGUUUCUAAUAAGACAUAAUAUUUUAGGGUAUAUGAGUAAUUUCUCCCCAUAUGAUAUAAGCAAUUGAGCUCACAAAUCUGCUAGGGGAGGUCAAUAUAAUUUUGCAAAUCUCAGAAAAAGGUCAGUGAAAUUGUUAGAAACCUCAAGAGAGGUUUCUAAAACUAUCCCAAAAAAAGUUAGAACUUGUUUGGAAAUAAGCACAUGAUGGAGGUAAUUCUAAUUAAGUGCAAAUAUCACAUACUUAAACAUUAUAACUUAACAUGCACUGCAUUGAUGGUAAAGCGAAGACAUUAUAGUAUCCGGCUAGGAGUCUUGGUGUGUUUGCAUCGUUUCAGUAAUCUAUUAAUAGUCUUUUUUUUUCCUUCUAGAUUUCUCUGAAACAAUUGGAAUAAACUGAUUUUCUGCAUUGUCCUUGUCUUUGUUGCUUUGUGAGCUACUGGUAUUGUUGCUUGCGCAAGAUGUUUGAUUUGUUUUCAACUGCACGGUUUUGUGGAAAUCUUUGAGAGCUUGUAUGACCCCUUUUUGUUCUUGAGUAUCUGAUUUCCAAUAUCUAAACUCUUCAAAUGCAUCUGGUUUUGGUGUUUCUUUUUGCAAUCCUGCUUCCGCGUCAUCAUUUGUAGAGUCAUUUGCUUUUGAGUUGACUUUCAAUUGAUCCUUCAAACCAAUCAACAAAUCACGCUUAUCAGCCAUAAGGAACUUAUAUCUGUAAUCACAAACUCAAGUUUAAGGGCUAAAUUAAUUUGUAUUUGAACUAGGAAGAAAAAAAAUUAGCAUAAAAUGAUUUUUUGCUAAACUAUUUUCCUCGCAAAAGUUGACAAAUUUCUUUGUUUCCACGUAUCUGACAAUUCAGGCAAGUAUCAAAAUCUUUAAGUAUAAGAAGACCAGCUUAGGGUUCUCAAGAUGCUUAUAAUAAUUCCAAGCACAAAAAAUAGUAUAAUAAUAGUAGUAUACUAUGAUGAUGAUAACAAUAAUAAUAUAACAUAAAAAUAAAAGUUUCUAAUAUAACCAAUCAUUCGGGUUAUAAAUGUGACAUGACAAGUUGAGGUAUACAUGUCAAUUCUUGUCCUUUAACAAGUUACUAAUUGGUUAAUCAUAUCAACUCAUGAGUUGAUUCAAUAAUACUCAUUUUGAUACCUAAUUGUGAGACUAAUUUCUUUUUUGUGUUGUGUCUCGGUCAGGUUUCUUGCAAGUCAUAUUAAUGUUGUGUCAUCGUAUCCAAAAGUGCCAUCUCUAGUUAUUUUUUACGCAAUGAAUAAUUUAAUCGGUUAUUUUAGUUCCAAUGAAAUAAUAAGUUGAUAGUUGGGCUUUGGGGAUAUUAAUCAAGUGACAUGAAAUUCCUGAUUUGACUCUCAAUACCUCCCUUUUUCCCCUUCCCCUUUUAUAAGGUUUGAAUUCUCCUCUUGAACAAAAAAAAAAAACUCCAUCUUUAAAAUGGUUGAUGACUUGAAAAGACAAAUAUCUAAAACAUUUUUUUAAAUUUUAGUGUCAAUGUAAAAAUUAGCCUUCCAUCGCAGAUAUACAAAAUGGGACAACAGGGCCUUAGCAAUUGAGUGCCUUUUGUACGAGAUAAUCUAGACACUAAAACAAUAAUCUUACAGACUAAAUUGAUAAAUGGCUAUAAUAUGUACUAUUCAUAUACGAGGCAAAGAUGCGUCAGCCUGCACUGCAUCCGCAAGUAGUAAAUAUAAAUUCAAAAUAUUCGCCUUAAAUUAACAAAUGUAAAUAAAUUUUAUUUUUGUGCACAAAAGGUCAUAUUUGUGCAUCAACUCUUACUUGUCGGCCCCUAAGUGGACACAAUGAGAUCAAAUACUUGCAAAUCUGAAGGAUAAAAUGAAGGUUUAUCUUUUAACACCAGAAAAUUAUUAAGAUAAUCCACAUAAGCAAUUUAAAUAUUCUCGAAUUAGCUCAAAAUGUGGGCAAAAGUUUGGGGACUUGGUAGGAGCAAACAAGAAAUAUUUAUCAUGUUCAUUAAGGGAGAAAAUAAUUUAAGGGUGUAGUUAAAUUACUCAAAAUGGAAAUCUGUAACCAAUUUAGUGGAAAAUUCCUGAUUAAAAUAGAAGUUCCAAUUAAAAAAAUGUUGGAGAUAUUUUGUAGAAAGUGCUUGCUAAUAGAAGAAUUAACAUUAAAUUUGAAUAAACAAGUAUUCUGCUCCAUUUAUUCCACAAACCCUCGAAUUGGAAUGAGCGUAGAUUUAAUUGUUAUGUAGUGUUUUCUCACUGUUUUGAUAGCAAUAUCCACCCUUUUUAUUUUACUCUUCUUUUUUGGUUACAUAGAGUUCAAAAUGGCAUGGUUUGUAAGUAAGACAUCUCACACAUAAGAAUAUUGUGGUAUAUCACACCAACUUAGAGUUACCCUCUUAAAGUGGCUAUACGAUUUUCCUUGCGUAAUUGAAUUGAAUCAAGGCAAAGUAAUCUAUUGUACUAAUACGCUGUAGGUACCAUAUAUACCCUUGCAUGCCUUUCAUCUAAAGGAUUAAGAUAUUUUUAUUGCUUUUGGUACUGAAUAGGAGGGUGACACUUCAAAUUGGAACAAGAACUUUAGCUCAUUUUCUGCCACAAGCAGGAAGCAUAAGAAUCCAAGUAACCGGAAACCUGUGAAAUAAAGUAAAUUUGGAUGCCAUCAGUGUAGAUUGCAGUAUUACUUCAUCUACAAGAGUGGUUAAUUUCAAGCAAUUACAGGAAUAGAUACCAAUGCAAUUUCUUACAAGCUAGUAAGGAAAAAGCUAAAAAUAAACACUAAGGAAGUAAAGCAAAGUAUUGCGUGCCUUUGCUGUCUACUACAUGAAGCUUAUUUGGAACCUUUUCUUCCUUUUCAUACUGCUUUUAUUGUCCCUUCUUGCAGCAUUUCUUCCCCCAAAGGAAAAGAAUAUUGAAAAGCUUCAACUUCUAUUUAAUUACCAAGAGAAAAAUUAGAACCACCACCAACUUGUAGACUUGUCAUUUCAAUUACUUGCAUGUACAACUCUUUCUCACCUUGCAAAUUGCUUAAUCCCACAAUCUCAAAAAUAUCAAAGUCGCUCUUACUCUCAAAUAUAGACCUAAUGGCGGAUGCAUUGCUUGGUUCCACGAUUCAAGUCCUAGUGGAGAAGGCAAUAAACUUGGCUUCAGAACAAAUUGGCCUCUUUAUUGGCUUUAAGAAAGAUUUGGAGAAACUGAAGAAAACGUUGACUCGAAUCCAGGCUUUUCUUUGUGAAGCGGAGAAAAAAUAGAUGACUGUAGAGUCUGUGAAGCUUUGGCUAGAAGAGCUUGAACGUGUGGCUUUUGAAGCUGAAAAUUUGUUGGAUGACUUCAACUAUGAAAUGAUUCGACGCAAAGUUGAGAUCCAAAGCCAAAUGAAGAGGAAGGUAUGCUUCUUCUUCUCACUCUCUAAUCCUAUUGCAUUUCGUUGCAAAAUGGCCAACAAAUUUCAGAAAAUCAAUUUGGAUUUAAAAAUUAUCAAUGAAGAAGCUGUUCGGAAUAUUGCAAUGAACUGGCAAAUAUUGUGACAAGAAUUGACUUCAAAUCGUGAUAGAUAUCACUUUCCUUUAUGCUUUAUUUGUCCGGUAUACCGUGCAAUAACCUUGGAGAAACAUCCUUUAGAAUAAGAUGAAAUUUGUUUGUCUUAAACUCUUGCACAAAGUAAGACAAACCCUUUUUGAACUAAGGAGUGCUUUUGAGAGAAUACACAGUAGUAGGAAAGUAAUUUUCUGCAGCAAAUCACUCUCCACUUAACCUCUUUAUAUAGGAAAGAUUGUUUAAAAAACAAAAGAACUCAUUAAAUACUUGUAUGAAUAGAUUCAAAGUAUUGUGUACAAAUUCAUGCACUUUAAUUCAUGUAUCUCAUGAUUCUAAGAUCAAAACAUGAAUCUAUCCUUUUAUUCGAGGAUUCCCACAUACAUGAAUAUAUUCAUAAAUGAAUGUACAUUUUAGAAACAUUCACAAUACUAUACAUGUAUCAAAAACAUGAAUGAAUAUACAUUAAUUACAUGUAUGUACAUCAUACAAAUUUUGAAAAAUUUCCAACAGAAGCAUCGCAACUUAGUCUCCAGCCACAUAUUGGAGCUAGAUAUGCACCUCGUGUUCUUCCUCCUCCCAUUGUAGGAGGUUUUACAAAGAACAGAGAGACUGACUCUAUUACUAUUGAUGUGAGUUUUGUUGGAAGAGAAAAUGAUGUCUCAGCAAUAGUAAAAAAGUUGGCUGCCCCAAAUAAUAAUGAAACUAUCUCCGUUCUCCCUAUAGUAGGGAUGGGUGGGAUCGGUAAGACCACCUUGGCUUGAAAUGUUUUUAAUGAUCCAAAGAUCCAAGAACAUUUCGUGGAGAGAAUGUGGGUAUGCGUGUCAGAUGAUUUCAAUGCCAAUAGGCUUUUUAGGUUGAUGCUAGAAUCAUUGAAAGAACGAAUGCCCGAAGUUGAGAGUAGGGAAGCCAGAGUCAAUUAGCUCAAGGAAUUAUUGGAUGGUAAAAAGUAUCUAUUGGUCUGGGAUGAUGUUUGGAAUAAGGACUCAACACUAUGGAAUGAGUUUCUUGGGUACUAGCCAAGCCAUGGGGAGCUAGAUUCUUGUGGCCACUCGUGACCAACAAGUGGCAAACAUCACGAGAAUUUUUUCUUCUCCUUGGUCCUUGAAAGAAUUAUCAAAUCAUCAGUGCUGGCUCAUUCUCAAAGAAAAUGCAUUUGGCGCUGGGGAAGUGCCUAAUAGACUGCAAGAGAUAGGUUUCAAGAUUGCGCUAGAAUGUAGAGGCUUACCAUUAGCCACAAGAGUUCUCGGUGGCAUGUUGCGCAACAAGGGAACAACUGACUGGGAAACUUUAGAGAGUAGGCUUCAAAGUUUAGGUGUAGGUGAAAAUACUAAUGUUGAUAAAAUUUUGAAGUUGAGUUUUGAUCAUCUUCCAUAUCCAUCUCUUCAAAAGUGUCUUUCAUAUUGUUCAAUUUUUCCCAAGGAUUUGGAAAUGGAAAGGAAUCAACUGAUCCAACUUUGGGCGGCAGAAGGAUUUCUUCAUUCAAAUCAAAGAAACAAUAUGUGUAUGGAGGAGGUUGGUAACAUGUAUUUUACCAUUUUGUUGGAUAGUAACUUGUUUCAAGAUGCAGAGAAGGAUGAGUAUGGGAAUGUUUUGAAUUGCAAAAUGCAUGAUCUUGUGCAUGAUAUGGUGCAAUCCAUUUCCAGUUCUAAAACUUUAAGGUUGAUAGAGUCUGGAAGUGAUGAUAAGGAGACGUUUCCCAUUCAGUAUCUUGCACCAGAGAGAAGUGAAAAAGAAAUGCCAUUUCCCCCUUCUAAAAGGUUCAAGUGUAUUACAACAUUAUUUUUGUUGGAAGACAGAUCACUUAAUGAUAGAAAGAUUUCAUUUUUUAUGUUGCGAGUUUUGAGCUUAAGGUCAUCAAGUGUCAAGGAGCUUCCUAAAUCAAUUGGCAAGGUAACUCAUUUGCGAUACUUUGAUUUAUCAAGAAUUUCAAUCAAAAUAAUGCCAGACUCUCUUUGUCGACUUUAUAAUUUGCAGACAUUAAGAGUUGGAGAUCGUGAAUCAUUGACAAAGUUUCCAAAUAAUUUCAAGAAUUUGGUGAAUUUGAGGCACUUUGAACUGCGAAAUUGCACAAACUGCAAAGAGUUACCAACUCUUGGAUACAUGCCCUCUCUUAGAUCUCUUCACUUGGAAGGACUUGAUGGCAUAACAAUCGUAGAGCCUUCUUUUUAUGGAGAAUUAGCCAUGCAUAGUGGCGCUAGCAAUCAAAGUUCCCCAAAAUUGUUUCCAAAACUAGGACAUUUCAUUCUAAGAGACAUGAAAAAUUUGAUUGAAUGGAUGGAAGCAAUAGUCCAUGACAGAACCGUGGUGGUAUUUCCUAUCCUUGAUAUGGUAACGAUUGAUAGCUGCCGUCAAUUAGCCACUUUGUCAUUUUCCAUGUCUCAAGAAAUUGAAGAUCAUUGGACCAAGAAUGGAUCAGUAGUACUGGCAUAUAUUUGUAGCGGAGUUAGCACUCUCACUAGUGUUCACAUUGAGGAUGUGAAUGGGCUCGCCAAGCUACCAAUUAUAUUAUUUCAAAACAAUCCAAAUCUUGCAGAUCUCAAAUUAAGCAAUUGUCGGGAUUUGACCCAAUUUUUGGAUUUUCCAUUUGUUAUUUCGCAAACUUUAGAAGGUCCAAAUUCCCAAACAAUACUUGGGCUGAGCCAACCACGCGCUUAUAUUGACAAUAAUGCUACUCCAUGUUUGGUUGGUCUUGAGUCCCUAGAGAAAUUAGUUCUCUUACAAGGGAGUUUUGUUUUCUUAUAAGCUUGAGAAGGUUAAUGAUUGGACCAUUUUCAGAAACCACAAAGUUGCAUUCCUUUCUAGACCUCUUUGAUGCUCUCCAACCACCCCACCACUAUUUGCCCUCCCUUUCAAGAUUAAGUCUAGAUGGAUGGCCUCAUUGGGAAUCUUUGCCCCGGCAACUUCAGCACCUCUCUGUCCUAACAUUUAUUCGACUGGUUGGUUUUGGAGUAAAAUCAUUGCCCGAUUGGUUUGGGAAGCUUUUGUCACUUGAAGAACUUUGGCUCUUAACGAUGUAAAAAGUUAGAGAAUUUACCCUCUCUGUGAGGACUCACAAAAUUUACUUAUUUAAUCUCCUAUUUCUAGCUUAUUUAAUUAUUUAUUUGGUCUUUUACUCCGAAUAUUAUUUUCUAAGCUCUUGAGACCUAAUUACAUGGAAAUAUAGUUUCAUUAUAUUUUUAAAAUGACUUGUUUCAAAAAUUAAUUUUCGGAAGCUCGUUUUGUAAAAAUAGUGAACACGUCUUUGGAAAUCUUGAUCGAUUGAGAGUACAAUAGGUUUGAAAUAUUGGAGACAUGUACAAUGGACCUAAAUUAGGCAUUUUAAUGUUUAAAUAUUCAAGUGAUAGUUAUUAGUACUAUCGUUAUAAGAAUUUCUCGGAAGUUUCGCGUUAUUGCGCUUAAAUUGGAGAUACGCGUUUUCACACGCGCAAUUUAAAUUGAGGAACUUUAGACCCUUAUUUUGAGACAAUUAAGAGUGAAUAAUAUUUAUAUGAAUAUAAAUGCAUUAGAAGUUUAGUACACUAGUGAAACAAACGCGAGAGGAAUCGAGCACAAAACGCGCGCGUGCGCGCACUUUUUGCGGUUGACUUUUGUGCACCCAAUCCUUAGUCAUUAAGCUUCCUUUGGAAGCCUCAUUUCAGACCACAAUUUCUCUCUCUUGCUCCCUCAUCUGGCCGAACAACAAAGCAAGAAAAACAGCUCAAGAGUUCUUCCAAUUCCUCCAUCAAAUCUUCACCAAACCUCUUCCAAUUCACUCCAAAUUCGAACUACACUUAGCUUAACACUUGAGGAGUAUUUUGAGCUGCAAAAGGGAGCUGAAAAGCCACGGUUUUCUGGAGCAAAGAGUGACCAAAAUUUCUGAUCUAAUCAUCCAAGAAGGUAGCAAAUCAUCCAACCCAUAGAUCUUAGUUUUUGUAAGAUUUAUUGCACAUAUAAGGUUAUAUAAUCAUGUGGGUAGUCUUGUUUAUGGUAUAAAAUGUGAAAGUGGGCUCUAUGAACUCCCACUCUUGGGUUGUUGCUGAUUUGAUGUUGGAUGAUGAAAUUAAUGGUGGUUUAGUGCUUAUAUUAGUAGAUUAAUGUUGUAUUGUUGGUAGAAAAUCAAAGGAGGUGCUUGGAGCAAAAGUGACCGUUUUACCCCUGCCUUGUCCGACCGUUUUCGUGCCAGAUUUUGAGAUUCUAAUGAAUUGAUUAUGUUGUUUAUCUAUUAUUGUAAGUGUGUACAAAAUUUCAUUGAAAAAUAACAUGAUUUGGUUGGUCAAAUGAGUUGAUUUCCAAAGUUAGCAAAACUGGAAAAUGAAUCCCGUAUUGCCCAGGCAGUCAUUUUGUAACGGCCAUAACUCUUUGUUCCGAUGUCGAAAUCAAGUGCCGUUUGCGGCAUUGGAAACUAGACAUUCCUAGCUUUCUAUCGGUACCAAUUUCACAUUCUGGUUCCACUUGAGUGAGCCACACCAUUCGAUUGAAUAUCACUGUCCUGUUUCGUUGCUCUCCAGGAGACAGGACAGAAAUUGCUUCUUGAUGCUCAAAAACGAGCUAUUUGUGAAUGGAAUUUGAAAAUGGUUUCUUCUGAGAAAAUUCAGAUUUAUGUGAGAGCUUUCUAACGCCAUCAACCACGCUCGAUUCCAAGUUGAAUUGAGUGAGUUGUGGUCAUAUUUCGAAACUGAUGCAGUGAGUAAAAAUCCUCUUUUGACUAGUUGAAUGGCCUAGCUUGACUUGGGACUUGUUGUUUUGAAAACUUUGAUGUCCGACAUCUACCAAACUUUAGAUUAGAUGUUCCUUGGACUUUGUUUCACAAAUAAACCAGAUUUGGGUUGGUUGCUUUGGACAAAAUGUUUAAAAAGGAAAGAAGAGCUAGAAGACAGUUUUACCUUGGGAAAUUUCCUGAACUUUGAUGGUUUAGUUAACUACCUUCCCGUGUGAAUUUUCAAAUGAAUUUGAUAGAAGAGUAAUCCUCAUAUGGAGGUUUAAUUGUACAAAAUUUGGUAAUAUUCUAAGACCAUUUUGAUAUGCAAAUGAUGUCACAAAAUUCGCUCAUCGAAUCUGGAAAACUUUUCGUUUUCUCUUAGCCAAAUGGUCAAAUCUGAUUUGGAGAGUUUUAUUUCUAGAAUUGGAUGUCAAUGGUCUUUAAAUUGCUCAGUGGAUGUUUAUGAACUCUUGGUUUCAAUAAUGGAGAGAUUUGGAACUGAUUUCAUGGUACAAAAAGUUUGUAAACGAAAGAAAAGUGAGAAGGUAGUUUAGCCUUGAAACUCUUCAUAAACUUUGGUUGUUUUAAUGACUACCUUACCGUGAGAGUUUUUGUACGAAACUUAGUAGAAAUAUUGUUCACACAUGGAAGAUUUAGUGUACCAAGUUUGAUGUAUUUCUAAUGCCAACUUGAUGACCAAAUGAUAUUUCAAAUCUAGUUUUAAACCUGGAAAAUAGCCCAACAGUCUUAACUUUUUCAGCAACUUGGAGGUACUAUAUCUUGGUGCUCGAAACUCCAUUUCUCGUUCCGCUUGUUUUGUUAUACUCUUGGAUUGCAACACUAAUUGAUUUCCAAAUUUCAAAGGUUAGUUCAAAACAAGUGAAUUUGCCGAAUUUCCAAAAUUGGCCAAAAACCAACCUUGAAACUGUCUUAGUAUUCUACAGCAGUAACUUUGAUCCAACUUUUGAAUACCUUCCAUUUGGGAUCAUGGAAAAGUGUCUUCUAGAAACUUGUAUUACUCGGAAUGUAGUUUCCAAUGGUAUCAAGCGUUCCAAUUUUGGACCUACGUAGUGCAAGAUACGAUUUUUCUAAAAUUGACACCCAAAGCUGAAAUUUGGCAAUUUCUUAGAAAAUGAGAUUUUGGAAACUUGCCUUCUUUUCUCGAUACCGAUUGAACAUUUUGAACUCGAUUUCAUGAAAAAUGUUAGUCUCUCUCUUUAGACUUUCAAACUCUACUCUUGAGCCUCGAUUAUUAAUAAUUAAGGCCCAAUUUAUGAAUUCCCCUUAGAUUGUACAACCUUCUUUGAUAAGUAGGAGUUCUAAGUGAUAGUGCAUAAUAGUUAAUGGUUAUUUGCUCAGGCGCUCAAGGGGACCUUCAAGAGGAACUCGAAGUGGACGCCUAGACACUUGUUUGAGUAUUUACUCUCUUGUUGCAAUAGGUGAGUGUUCCAUAUAGGAAUACGUAAUUGGAAUAAGUCUAUGACAUGCUUAACCCAUGGUCAUUAAGUAUUUACCACACUCAUGCAUAUUUGAAUAAUAUAUACUUGAAUUGCUCGACAUGAAACACCUGAAGUAUGUAUAUUUGAACUAUUCGAUAUGAAACCCUUAAAGAGCAUACUUAUGUGAUUACUUGAAAUACUAGAUAUGAAAUGUUUGGAGAGCAUAUUUACAUGAUGUGUUUAAAUGAUUAAUUAUGCUAUGGAAGCAUAAGUCGGUUGGAGUGAAUCUCCUCGACUCUUACGUGGUGAAAGUGAAAAACGGCCAAUGGCGGCCUAUUGAAAUGACAUAUGUCUACCAAUUAACCGUAAUUACUACCGUUAACCGUUUACCGUUUACCGUUAACCGUGUUUACUUACCGUUUUCUAAUCUAUUUGGUUACUUGCUUACUUGGUUAUCUGCUUACGUGAUCACCAACUUACUUGGUUACUUGACCACCUGAUUACUUGAUUAUCAUGAAUCACAUGUUAUAUGAAGCUGUCCAUCAUUAUUAGGCGAGUGUGUAUUUUACCUCACUCGACCUACUCAAAUGAUGAAUUUUACCUUUUGUCGAAUUACUUGGUUACCUGUGCAUGUUGUAAGCUCUAAGCUGAACUUGGGCCCUGCCCUUGGUUACUGACCUACUCGAGCCAGGAUUGGGCUCGGUCGGGUAGGUUGGAACCCUGGGCCACCGUUUCGGUAUACUCGAGUAUUACCACUGGAGGGAUAAGGCGAUGGCCAGACUGUACCGUGGGGAUCGGAAGUCAUAAAGUGCAGAUGACCGACAGAGUUCCACUGGAACACCGUAUCCUACCGUAUAUGUUUACCUUGUAUCAUGAUAAUUGUUUCAUGCUAAAAUGUCAACAUGAAAUCCUGAGCCAUGCCUGUGAUAUGCUCCCUACCUGUUACCUGUCCAAUGUACUCAUAUCAUGAUACCUGUUUCAUGUUAAUGCUCCAUACCUGUAACAUGCUUAAUUACUCGCACCUGUAAUAAGCUCCAAUCACUCAUGAACUAUACAUGCCAAUGUCUUGAACCAUGAUAACUGUCUCAUGAUAAAUGUUUCAUACCAUGAUACAUGUCUCAAAUUACCCGUACAAUGAUUAUCACUUCAUGGUAACAUGCCAUUGUGUAACCUUGAACCACGCAUAUGAUAUGCCCAACCUACUUGAUUUAUUUGAACUGUUAGAGUGUAUUGGAACCUCACUGGGCUGUGUAGCUCAUCCCACGUUGUGGUUUUCUUUUACAGGGUUCGAGACCAAGGGUGCUCGUGAGUAGUACUAGAUUAUUUUCUUUUGAAAACUUUAAGUUAUAUUAUAACGGAUGGCUAUUGUACCCUUUUCCGUUGGGUUGUAUUUAAGCUUGGAAGCUGCAUAAUUGUAAGUGUGAGAUAUUUGGAGUACUUUAAUUAUGUAUUGAAGUUACUUAAAGUAUUUCGAGCUUUUGAAUGAUGGAUUGUAGUGAGUCCUGGCGAGAGCUGGGCAGGCGUCCCGCGGAUACCCUUUGGUUCGCCUUAGGGAGAAGUGGGGGCGUUACAAUUGGUAUCAGAGCUUAGGCUUCAGAUUUUGUAGUGUAUCCUAGGCUUAAAUGUUUAGGAUGCCGGACUGUGGGACUAUUCUGAAAGUUAAAUGAUUGCUUGUAGUGAUGAAAUUUAGAGCCACUUCACGUGGUCUCUACAAAGGAGCAAGAUAGGGCCAAGUGGUGUUUGGUCCUUACUAUGUGAUUAAGUAAAGACUUAAGUGCCCUUCUAGAAAUGUAAGUUGUGAAUCAUGAAUGUUAUAGGUUGUAAAACCUUUAUCUUGAUAAUUGGAGGGAAUUUGAUAUGUAUGUUGGGUAGGAAUCUCGAAUGUGGUGAUUUACUCUUGGGACCGGCCGGCUCGAGAUGUGAAUUAUCCUAUUUUGGAUUCUUGAACCCGAGUACUUGGGAGUGGAAAGCAACCAUAGGGACUUUAUAUCUCCAUUUGUGGGGAAUAAGAAUGAAUCGAUAUUUCAUGUGAAUGGUUACAGGAAACCAAUAAUUGUUUGGUUAAGAUGGUACAAUAAUUAAGAGUGGAAGAUGGAAAAUAUCGUAACCCAAAAGAUCCUUGUGUUGGGAUUGAAAUCGAGCAUGUUAGGGAACGAGAAUCGUCUAGUUCCAAUUAAUCUAGUGAAUCUCUACUGGUGAUCUUUCAUAGUGAGACGAUGGGAGUAGAACUUAAGAGUUUGCGCCUUGGAGAUGAAUGUACUUGUGAUAAUCACUUGUUUAUUUUUGUUAUUGACUUUGACUUGGCAUGAACUUUACUUGGCCAUAAUUUGUGUUAUGAUUUAAUGAACUCUAGUUUGUGUUUACUUGCAUAGUGAUAAUGUUAUUUGUGAAAGUGUCUUCAUCCUCUUUAAAUGUUGCUACUGGUAUAUGAGUGUAGUUCAAUUUUAACUAAGUGUGAGGGUUAUGCAUGUGCGUAUAGAUUAGUUGUGGACAUGGAAACUAGAGGACAACGAAAGGGACGUCAACCUAGACAACCCCGAAAUGAAAGAGUAGCUAAUGGGUCCGAUAUCGAUCAAAACGUUGAGCUAAGUGCUGGGAGAGGAAAUGACCAGAUAGGACAAGUUUUAACUCGCAUGACGGAUAUCCUAGAGCUCUUGGUAGCUCAACAAGGUCAAGGUGUUGGACAAGGAAACCAACGUGGAAACCAAGAGAUAGGGGAGGAUCGAGCUUUAGAGCGGUUUCAGAAAUUCUCUCCGCCCAAGUUUGCUGGAGGGCCUGAUCCAGAGGUGGCUGAGAAUUGGUUAGAAAAUAUAAGAAAUAUAUUCGAUGCCUUGGAUUACACAGAGGAGAGACAAGUCAUAUUUGCUGUAUUUCAACUUGAAGGAGCAGCCCGAGCAUGGUGGAAUGUUAUAAGAAACAAGUGGGAAAGAGAUCAAACUCCGAGAAUUUGGAUAAAUUUCGUGCGUGAAUUUAAUGAGAAAUUUCUUCCUCCACUUGUCCAAGAAAAGAGAGAAAAUGAUUUUAUAAAGUUUCGUCAAGGAACUUUAAGCGUAGCUGAGUAUGAAACACGCUUUACGAAGUUAUCUACAUAUGUCCCAGAAUUGGUGGCUACUGAACGGAAGAGAAUAAGACGGUUUAUCCAAGGAUUAGAUUUGAAAAUCCAAGAUGCCCUUGCCGCAGCACAGGUUGAAACAUUUAGUGACGCUCUUGAAAAAGCGCAAAGGGUAGAAAGCACAAAAUCUCAACUGAGAGCUUUUCAAAAAAGGAAAAGAGUUACAUCUGACAGUACACUAGGAAAAAAUGGACCACCACUCAAAGUUAGAAAAGAAGUGGAUGAAGUAGGACUGUUACUUCCUGCACCACUCAUGAUAAAGGAACCAAAAGGAACUAUGUCACGAGGGACUUCAGUAGGACAAACACGAUCAAAGAAAACCUCGCAAGCAAGUCAGGUCACAACACCUCGUCCGACUUGUGGAUAUUGUGGAAGGACGAAUCACACUGAAGAAAACUGUUGGCUAAAGGGACGAAAGUGUAUGGGAUGUGGGAGUACCAAUCAUAAAGUUCAUGACUGUCCAAGGAGGUAUCCACGAGAAACUACUGCUCAACAAGGAAAUGGAACUGUUUCUCGACAAGUCAAUGGAAGGAGAAACCGACCAAUGGCAUCUGAAAGAACGCAUGACAUGAACACCCCACACGGUUCAGAGUUGUCUGAGAUUACAGAAGGUAUGAAUUUCGAGGACGAAAUUCUUUUAAGGAGGGGAGGUUGUGAGGACUCGCAAAAUUUACUUAUUUAAUCUCCUAUUUCUAGCUUAUUUAAUUAUUUAUUUGGUCUUUUACUCCGAAUAUUAUUUUCUAAGCUCUUGAGACCUAAUUACAUGGAAAUAUAGUUUCAUUAUAUUUUUAAAAUGACUUGUUUCAAAAAUUAAUUUUUCGGAAGCUCGUUUUGUAAAAAUAGUGAACACGUCUUUGGAAAUCUUGAUCGAUUGAGAGUACAAUAGGUUUGAAAUAUUGGAGACAUGUACAAUGGACCUAAAUUAGGCAUUUUAAUGUUUAAAUACUCAAGUGAUAGUUAUUAGUACUAUCGUUAUAAGAAUUUCUCGGAAGUUUCGCGUUAUUGCGCUUAAAUUGGAGAUACGCGUUUUCACACGCGUAAUUUAAAUUGAGGAACUUUAGACCCUUAUUUUGGGACAAUUAAGAGUGAAUAAUAUUUAUAUGAAUAUAAAUGCAUUAGAAGUUUAGUACACUAGUGAAACAAACGCGAGAGGAAUCGAGCACAAAACGCGCGCGUGCGCGCACUUUUUGCGGUUGACUUUUGUGCACCCAAUCCUUAGUCAUUAAGCUUCCUUUGGAAGCCUCAUUUCAGACCACAAUUUCUCUCUCUUGCUCCCUCAUCUGGCCGAACAACAAAGCAAGAAAAACAGCUCAAGAGUUCUUCCAAUUCCUCCAUCAAAUCUUCACCAAACCUCUUCCAAUUCACUCCAAAUUCGAACUACACUUAGCUUAACACUUGAGGAGUAUUUUGAGCUGCAAAAGGGAGCUGAAAAGCCACGGUUUUCUGGAGCAAAGAGUGACCAAAAUUUCUGAUCUAAUCAUCCAAGAAGGUAGCAAAUCAUCCAACCCAUAGAUCUUAGUUUUUGUAAGAUUUAUUGCACAUAUAAGGUUAUAUAAUCAUGUGGGUAGUCUUGUUUAUGGUAUAAAAUGUGAAAGUGGGCUCUAUGAACUCCCACUCUUGGGUUGUUGCUGAUUUGAUGUUGGAUGAUGAAAUUAAUGGUGGUUUAGUGCUUAUAUUAGUAGAUUAAUGUUGUAUUGUUGGUAGAAAAUCAAAGGAGGUGCUUGGAGCAAAAGUGACCGUUUUACCCCUGCCUUGUCCGACCGUUUUCGUGCCAGAUUUUGAGAUUCUAAUGAAUUGAUUAUGUUGUUUAUCUAUUAUUGUAAGUGUGUACAAAAUUUCAUUGAAAAAUAACAUGAUUUGGUUGGUCAAAUGAGUUGAUUUCCAAAGUUAGCAAAACUGGAAAAUGAAUCCCGUAUUGCCCAGGCAGUCAUUUUGUAACGGCCAUAACUCUUUGUUCCGAUGUCGAAAUCAAGUGCCGUUUGCGGCAUUGGAAACUAGACAUUCCUAGCUUUCUAUCGGUACCAAUUUCACAUUCUGGUUCCACUUGAGUGAGCCACACCAUUCGAUUGAAUAUCACUGUCCUGUUUCGUUGCUCUCCAGGAGACAGGACAGAAAUUGCUUCUUGAUGCUCAAAAACGAGCUAUUUGUGAAUGGAAUUUGAAAAUGGUUUCUUCUGAGAAAAUUCAGAUUUAUGUGAGAGCUUUCUAACGCCAUCAACCACGCUCGAUUCCAAGUUGAAUUGAGUGAGUUGUGGUCAUAUUUCGAAACUGAUGCAGUGAGUAAAAAUCCUCUUUUGACUAGUUGAAUGGCCUAGCUUGACUUGGGACUUGUUGUUUUGAAAACUUUGAUGUCCGACAUCUACCAAACUUUAGAUUAGAUGUUCCUUGGACUUUGUUUCACAAAUAAACCAGAUUUGGGUUGGUUGCUUUGGACAAAAUGUUUAAAAAGGAAAGAAGAGCUAGAAGACAGUUUUACCUUGGGAAAUUUCCUGAACUUUGAUGGUUUAGUUAACUACCUUCCCGUGUGAAUUUUCAAAUGAAAUUUGAUAGAAGAGUAAUCAUCAUAUGGAGGUUUAAUUGUACAAAAUUUGGUAAUAUUCUAAGACCAUUUUGAUAUGCAAAUGAUGUCACAAAAUUCGCUCAUCGAAUCUGGAAAACUUUUCGUUUUCUCUUAGCCAAAUGGUCAAAUCUGAUUUGGAGAGUUUUAUUUCUAGAAUUUGGAUGUCAAUGGUCUUUAAAUUGCUCAGUGGAUGUUUAUGAACUCUUGGUUUCAAUAAUGGAGAGAUUUGAAACUGAUUUCAUGGUACAAAAAGUUUGUAAACGAAAGAAAAGUGAGAAGGUAGUUUAGCCUUGAAACUCUUCAUAAACUUUGGUUGUUUUAAUGACUACCUUACCGUGAGAGUUUUUGUACGAAACUUAGUAGAAAUGUUUUUCACACAUGGAAGAUUUAGUGUACCAAGUUUGAUGUAUUUCUAAUGCCAACUUGAUGACCAAAUGAUAUUUCGAAUCUAGUUUUAAACCUGGAAAAUAGCCCAACAGUCUUAACUUUUUCAGCAACUUGGAGGUACUAUAUCUUGGUGCUCGAAACUCCAUUUCUCGUUCCGCUUGUUUUGUUAUACUCUUGGAUUGCAACACUAAUUGAUUUCCAAAUUUCAAAGGUUAGUUCAAAACAAGUGAAUUUGCCGAAUUUCCAAAAUUGGCCAAAAACCAACCUUGAAACUGUCUUAGUAUUCUACAGCAGUAACUUUGAUCCAACUUUUGAAUACCUUCCAUUUGGGAUCAUGGAAAAGUGUCUUCUAGAAACUUGUAUUACUCGGAAUGUAGUUUCCAAUGGUAUCAAGCGUUCCAAUUUUGGACCUACGUAGUGCAAGAUACGAUUUUUCUAAAAUUGACACCCAAAGCUGAAAUUUGGCAAUUUCUUAGAAAAUGAGAUUUUGGAAACUUGCCUUCUUUUCUCGAUACCGAUUGAACAUUUUGAACUCGAUUUCAUGAAAAAUGUUAGUCUCUCUCUUUAGACUUUCAAACUCUACUCUUGAGCCUCGAUUAUUAAUAAUUAAGGCCCAAUUUAUGAAUUCCCCUUAGAUUGUACAACCUUCUUUGAUAAGUAGGAGUUCUAAGUGAUAGUGCAUAAUAGUUAAUGGUUAUUUGCUCAGGCGCUCAAGGGGACCUUCAAGAGGAACUCGAAGUGGACGCCUAGACACUUGUUUGAGUAUUUACUCUCUUGUUGCAAUAGGUGAGUGUUCCAUAUAGGAAUACGUAAUUGGAAUAAGUCUAUGACAUGCUUAACCCAUGGUCAUUAAGUAUUUACCACACUCAUGCAUAUUUGAAUAAUAUAUACUUGAAUUGCUCGACAUGAAACACCUGAAGUAUGUAUAUUUGAACUAUUCGAUAUGAAACCCUUAAAGAGCAUACUUAUGUGAUUACUUGAAAUACUAGAUAUGAAAUGUUUGGAGAGCAUAUUUACAUGAUGUGUUUAAAUGAUUAAUUAUGCUAUGGAAGCAUAAGUCGGUUGGAGUGAAUCUCCUCGACUCUUACGUGGUGAAAGUGAAAAACGGCCAAUGGCGGCCUAUUGAAAUGACAUAUGUCUACCAAUUAACCGUAAUUACUACCGUUAACCGUUUACCGUUUACCGUUAACCGUGUUUACUUACCGUUUUCUAAUCUAUUUGGUUACUUGCUUACUUGGUUAUCUGCUUACGUGAUCACCAACUUACUUGGUUACUUGACCACCUGAUUACUUGAUUAUCAUGAAUCACAUGUUAUAUGAAGCUGUCCAUCAUUAUUAGGCGAGUGUGUACUUUACCUCACUCGACCUACUCAAAUGAUGAAUUUUACCUUUUGUCGAAUUACUUGGUUACCUGUGCAUGUUGUAAGCUCUAAGCUGAACUUGGGCCCUGCCCUUGGUUACUGACCUACUCGAGCCAGGACUGGGCUCGGUCGGGUAGGUUGGAACCCUGGGCCACCGUUUCGGUAUACUCGAGUAUUACCACUGGAGGGAUAAGGCGAUGGCCAGACUGUACCGUGGGGAUCGGAAGUCAUAAAGUGCAGAUGACCGACAGAGUUCCACUGGAACACCGUAUCCUACCGUAUAUGUUUACCUUGUAUCAUGAUAAUUGUUUCAUGCUAAAAUGUCAACAUGAAAUCCUGAGCCAUGCCUGUGAUAUGCUCCCUACCUGUUACCUGUCCAAUGUACUCAUAUCAUGAUACCUGUUUCAUGUUAAUGCUCCAUACCUGUAACAUGCUUAAUUACUCGCACCUGUAAUAAGCUCCAAUCACUCAUGAACUAUACAUGCCAAUGUCUUGAACCAUGAUAACUGUCUCAUGAUAAAUGUUUCAUACCAUGAUACAUGUCUCAAAUUACCCGUACAAUGAUUAUCACUUCAUGGUAACAUGCCAUUGUGUAACCUUGAACCAUGCAUAUGAUAUGCCCAACCUACUUGAUUUAUUUGAACUGUUAGAGUGUAUUGGAACCUCACUGGGCUGUGUAGCUCAUCCCACGUUGUGGUUUUCUUUUACAGGGUUCGAGACCAAGGGUGCUCGUGAGUAGUACUAGAUUGUUUUCUUUUGAAAACUUUAAGUUAUAUUAUACGGAUGGCUAUUGUACCCUUUUCCGUUGGGUUGUAUUUAAGCUUGGAAGCUGCAUAAUUGUAAGUGUGAGAUAUUUGGAGUACUUUAAUUAUGUAUUGAAGUUACUUAAAGUAUUUCGAGCUUUUGAAUGAUGGAUUGUAGUGAGUCCUGGCGAGAGCUGGGCAGGCGUCCCGCGGAUACCCUUUGGUUCGCCUUAGGGAGAAGUGGGGGCGUUACACUCUCACCAAUCUGUGAGAAGCUUCACCAGACUAAGUUUAGAGCGAGGGAUUUGAUGAAAGAUUUGAAAUCUUUGUAAAUCCCUUUAGAUUGUAUAGAUGACUUGGAAGGGUACUUGGAUUUAUAAUCGAAUAAUUAUUUAAUAUUCAAGUGUAUAUAAAUAAUUUGUAGAUUAACAACUCCAAUACCUCCCACUUAAUUCAAACUAUGUAGAGAGAUUUUAUAAGAUUUUAAACCCUUCGUUAAAAUCUCUCAAUCCAAAUCCAGCUUGAUUUUGGUAAAACAAAAAUUCAAAGCUAAUAGAUUUAUGUCUUAUAACACGUGAUUCGUAGGUGCCUACAUGUAAGAUAAAGAAUGAUUCCUUGCUUCUUGGCUUCUUUGCUAAACACAAAAUGCUAGGUGCUUUGCAACUUAGAUUUUUAAAAAAAAAAUGAUAGAGAAGCAUUCUUUAAUCCAAGGAUUGAUUUAUCAGAAUUUUGACCAACAUUUGCAGCGAUCCACAUUCAUGACAACCAUGCAUAGAGUGCAUACAGCAACUAGUAUUUUCCAAUUAUAAGGGACAAAUUAAGUAGUUCACGUUGACUUGCAAAUCCCACCACUUCUUUGUGGUGUACAUUUCAGAAAAGGAGGAAACUAUGCAAUGAGCACAUGCCGCCGAUAUUCACCAAGAGCCCAAGUAGGGAAUAUAUUUCGAUAAGACGAAUAGUGCAAAGUGCAAUUCUUCAUGAAUAUCCCUGUCAUUUCCUGCAGGCAAAUCUCCAAUAUGUUGUGGAAAAUUAAGAGAAGUGUAACAAAAAUGAGAAAGGUCUAUAGCUGGUGUUUAAAAAUCAUAAAAGAAAAAAGGUAAAGAGAUUUUUUAUUGAAAAAACGUAAAAAGUUGAUUGAUGUUUACCACACAGAAUAAACAGUCAUCCAAAUUUGAAUACUAUACAAAAAAUAGAAGGAAAAAAUCUACAGUACACACCUGCUGAGGAAAGUCACCAUCUUCCAUUUGGGAACUUCCUAGUAAUCUUAUUCCACGAUUUAUUGGAGUUGGGUCAAUCUUGGCCUGGUAUUAAUUUUAACAAUAAAGCACAAGUUUAUCAUAUAUUAUACAUGAAAUGCUCAUACAAGGAGAAUCAAUAAUUGGUGGGGCACCCAAAAAAAAAAAAAAAAAAAAAUUGGUGGGGCAUGAAGAACCCUCUAGACUGGGAAAAUUCCACACCUAGGAAAAAGUAUGACACCCAAGCAGUGCAUGACACGUGUCUCCCAAACUUUGAGGAUGUCUGAUGGGUCCGGUGAGAAGAGGUAACCGGUUGCAUACAAUAGGUGGAAAUUGGGGCAUGACAUUGCACGGUUUUGUAUGCUUUUAUUUUCUUAACCUCAAACUUUAAACACAUACAUAUUUUAUAUUAUACAUCCAAAUUAAGCAUAAAAUAUGUUAUUGGAAAGCUUAUUUACAUAUUUCUGGAUGGCAUAUCAAUGCAAAAAUUUGGUCUUAAAGAAGCGUACUUAACUUGCAAUUUGGAAAAAAAAUGUUAGAUUAUUAAUUAAUUAAUAUGUGAUACUCCCUCCAUCCUAUUUUUAUUAUCAUGUUUUCACUUUAUUAAUGUUCCAAAAUAGGAGUUACUAUUUUAGAUUUAACAUAUGUUUUUCAAUCUUACCACUUUAGAAAGCAACUUUUUAAAAUUUCAAUACGCAUCGAUUAAGAUAAUAUAUAUUGAAUUCAAAGGAUACAUUUGUAAAUUCACCAAUACCACUUCAUUUAAACAUAAUAACUACCAUGUCCUCAUAAAAAGUUGGAUUUCCAAAAAAAACUCUAAUAUUGGGACGGAGAGAGUAGUUGUGAUUUUUUUUAAGUUUAUACAUGGGGAUAAUUUCAUAAACCUCCCCUGCAAUUAUGAAAAAUCUCAAUUUUGACUCAUUUUUUACUUAAAUUAUUUCAUGUCAUGUUUUGUUCAGGUAUGUUUCGUUUCAUGUCCACAUAGUGUUAGGAAUUGUCAUCCCUACCUUUGGGCUAAUGGCAAUUUGGGUUGUAACCAAAAGAGAACCCAAAAAAAAGGGCUGUAACAACUGGAAAUGACCCUUUCAUAUACCCCCAACAUAAAUUAAUCUUUCAUAUACCCAAAUUUUUAUUUUUUUUUACUGACAGGUCUGGAUGAAUAACAGAAACUAAUAUGCAAUUGCCAAUCGUAUUAUUACUUAGAAUAGGAUUUUUCUUUCUCUAACUAACGAAGAAGCCAGCGUUCGACACCGGUCUCUCUGCCCCUGCUAAUUGAUUUGGUCCUUGCCCUUGCGGAUCUAACUAUCUAAAAUAUUUCAGGUGCCUUUUGAUUUUCCAAUUAGCUUGUAGCAAAUUUUUUACUUAUCAAGAUGUUAAAGUUGUUAUUUUCUAGCAUUUCUAUUAUUCCUAUACCAAUCAAAGAUUUUUAUUUUAUCUUGUAGUUCUGAGUUGCAGUUUCCAAGUGUCUGACAGACUGACACCCUUUUGAGUCUUUAAUGCAAAGAUUUGCUUCUCAUCUUAGUAGUACUUUUUCUCCAAUGGGACUCUCACUAACCUGUCCAGCAGCAACGAGACCCAACAGUGCCCAUGAAGUUUGUACCAGAUUCGAUCUAUUUCCUUCCAGAUUGGUGUAAACCUGUUACAAAUGAAAUACUGAAUCACUUCAGUAAUUAAAGAAAAACAACUUCAUAUUGAAUUAUGUUUCUCAAUAACGAUGCAUUGCUUAGGGUACGAGGCAGGAAAGGCUGGAAGUAAAAGGAAAAUUGGAAAAUCUUCCAACCUCGUUUGAGCAAGAAAGAUAACUCUCUCCCCAUCCACCAUCAGGUAAUUGCUUUGAUAGCAGAAAUUUACAUGCCUUGCGAAGUGCGGAAGAGUUGUCAUAGUCCCUGCCACAAGCAACCAACGCUUCCACUGCAAACCAAGUCCCAUAGGUGUAACAAAUUCCCCAACGACCAUACCUGCAAGUGUGAAGAAAGCAAAAUUUUUGUCAUCUCUAUGUAUUUGCUAUUCUUCAAAGAAUUUAUGCAGGUCGACAAUCUGUAUGUGUGUGUGUGUGAAAACGAACCAUGAACCGUCAUCUUCUUGUUCAUUUUCAAUAUAAUCUAUGGCUCUGGAGAUGCAACUUUCAACUUCAGCUUUUCUGUGUCCAGGAUACAAUUUCUUAAAGAGUGAUAGUGCUUGAAUUGCUGAAGACGUGCAUUCCACAUACCUGGCACAAGUUUCAGUCAAGUAGAUUUUCGUAACAAAGAGAACUUUUUAUACUCUUGUAAACAUACUUCUGCAAUGAGAAGGGAAGAGAUCAAGAGAAAUCUUACUCUCGCUCGAUAAGAACAUCCUCAAGAAAGUCAGUAGGAUUGAACUUCUGAAAGGAAUUAUUCCAAUUGGACUAGAGUAAGGACAAAGUUGAGGUAAUGGCAAACUAAUCUCAAACAUCAAUAAGGAUAACAAAUUAUUGAAGUUUCAAGUAUGAAGAUGUAACUAUGUUAAGGACCAUAACAGAACUAGUAUUUACAGUUACCUCCAUCCAACGAUAUGCUCUCUCCGGCUCCCAGGCUGGAAAGCCACCAUUUUUACUCUGUGGAUAAAUUGAGAUGAAAUCAGGAUGUUAUUCUUGUGUAAUGGAGAAGAUGAACUAACCUUCAAAACUAUAUCUACACCAAUCAUAAUUGAGUUUGACCAAUACUUAAUUAAGGGACCAGGGAGUCUGAUAGAUACUACUAAGAUAAUACAAGUUCAGGAAUGUUUUGCCUAGCCUGCAUACCUGUAGAGACAAAAUAGCAUUCACAGCGUCAUAUGCAUGCGCUGUUUCAAGCUUUUCCCCCACAAGUUCUGGUGGCAAUUGGCCUAAAAGAAGUGCAGCCUAUAAUAGAAAAAGGAAGAAAUUUUGAAUGGUUAACGAGACAAUACUGAUACUGCAUCAUGACCGGUAAUAUAACCUUAAACAAAUAAAUCAUAAUCAGUACAAAAUAGCAUUGUAGCUAUACCUUUAAUCCUUCUGCCGUACAGUCUGAUACUUGCCAACCAUGAUCUUGCAUUGAAAAUGUCCAACAUCCUUUAGAAAUGUGCCUAUGCAUUUUGACAAAAUCCCCUGAAGGGUUAUCUUGCACCUUGUAGUAGAAUAAAAUAUGGUUCAGUCAGAAGCUACAUUCUUGGUUAGCUUGACAGUUGAAUGACUUUUGCUUAUGUGCUUGUACCUGUGAUGCUUUUAUGAAGUCAUGUGCUUUCUUAAGUGUUGGCCCAUAUUCUUCAGCGAGGUUACUGGAUAAGAUUGCCUGAACUGCUAAUGCUCCAUCCCAUGUUUGGCUACCGAAACUCUGCAGAAGUAGUUUACAGAUUUAGUCAAGGCAGAUUUCAUUUAAUCUUCAGUACAAUGAAGGCAAUUACACAAAUAGUAUCAAUUUUCUUGUAGGAAAAGAAACAAAAAAAAAAAAAAAAGGAGAGUGGGGAAGCAUGGAGGGAAGGAUCUGGAAGUUAUCCACUUGAAGAACCAAAAGAAAGAAAAUAACAUUUGACCUCUCGAUUCUAUAUUUCAUUCUCCAUCAUGGUCAUUAAACUGUCACAGUUAGUGGACAAUGAUCACCUGCAUUUUCAGGCCGUCCUCUGCUACCCAAAAGUAAUCAGGUAUGCGAGCAAGAUGGCAUUUGAAUGCUUCUGAAUUUGGAUCUUCUACCCAGCAAGCAAGCAGGGAGAGCACCUGCAUUGUUUGUUUUACUUUGCUGUUAUCACAGCCAUAUUUAUCUUGUGCUGGUGACCCUCAGCGUAGUACUACAUCAUACACUAUUUUAUACCUUCACUAUACAUCCAAUGGCAAUGUAUCUGCUGUUUUUGUCCUCGUACUGAAUACGUUCCAUUGUCAUUUUCAAAGCCUUCUCUCGCAGUAUAGAAAAUGGCCAUCGUGUUAGAAUUGGUUCAGCAAAGUGGUAAAGGAAUCCCCACAGCAUGUCUUGUACUAAUGGGUGUCUGUAGUAUACAUCCUCCUGAUAGGCCAUAAACCACCAAAAUUUUCAACACAAGUAAUGUCGAACAAUUUCAGAUGCAGUCACUUAAUGAAAGUAAUUCUCUUGAAUUAUGUUCUGUAUAUUCAUAAGAAUCAUUUCUACAGUAGAUUCAGAAUAAAUCUUAACCAAAAAGGGAAAAAUAAAGGUGAUAUGGAAUCCGAAUUUAAAAAAUUCCGAGUGUGAGAGUGUUUAUGAAUAACGCGUAAAUGACCAAAAAUAUAUAUAUGGGGGACUCAAACAUAUUCACACUGUUGUUAUUUUCCUAUUUUAAACAACUUGUGUUUACGUUAAUUCACGUCAAAAACUGGAUUUUUACACAGUGAAUAAAAAAUCCUUUAAAAUUUGAUUACAAGUAUAGCUUUUUGUCUUGCUUGAACUGACAAUCUUAGAAACAAGUGUUGAACUUCAGAGGCUUACGUUCUUGUGCAUGUCUUGAAAUAGAUAGGAAUAUUGCCCUCUCAAUCAACACAUAAAUUUCAAAUCCACAAUAUUCUGAUUUAUAUGUUAUCAGAAUCCUUGUUUAAGGCAAUUUGAGUUUAUAUUCUAAUGAGACUAGGCAAGUCUUUCGUACAUAUAAUGUUGUCCUAUAACUCAAAUUCACUAAGAUGAAAAGUUCAAAAUAUAUGCAUAUUAAUGAAUCUUGUAAUUCUUAUUUUAGUUUGGAUUACUAAAACCUGUUAUCUUGUAAUAUUCAUGACAGUCUUUUUUAUUUAAUGAAACUCCUAUAUAUAAAUUCACAGUGAAUUAGAUGGGCAUAGAAAUGGAAUUGAAAACGAAGACUAUUCCGAAUCUAGGUUUAGGAAAACUAAGUGUGCUCCAAAGUUGUUUGGAUGUAUAAAGAGAAGCAAUGAUUACAAUGAUUAAAAAGUAUCAUUUAUGUCUGCCUUUAUUUUAUUUUAUUUUUUGUUACUUUAACAAUGAACAUAAGACCACUUUACAAAAUUAAAUAGGGAUAAUGUCAAAACCUCCCAUAAAGUUUUCGACAAUUGCAGCCACCUCUCUUGAGAUUUGAAAAUUUACGGAAACAUCCUCUAAAAUGUAUGUCUUGGCAAUAAUUGAUGAUGUAAGAAAAAAUAUCCAAUGAAUAUCUAAUAUUACCUCUCUCUGAUAUGUUAAACAAAUUAAAUGCUAAAAAGUCAACUAUCACCAUUAUCCGUUAGCUGAAAAUUUCAAGUAAGCUUUUUGCAAGAAAUUUAAGCAAUGUUUGAAAGCAUUCUCUUUUUUUGUACUUUGGACAUUUUUUUGGUUACGUAAUUUUUUAAAGAUACUUAUUUUAACAAAUGCAUCCCUAAUUGGUUGGUUGACUUUUUGUAAAUUGAUUAAUAAAUCUAGUCAGAAAAAUUGGGAAUGAAGUACAAUGUAAUAGAUUAGAUAACGUUAGAAUUUUAGAAUCAAGAAAUAUUACCAAAAAAGAA